AACGAACGCUGGCGGCAUGCCUAACACAUGCAAGUCGAACGAUUGCCUUCGGGUGAUAGUGGCGCACGGGUGCGUAACGCGUGGGAAUCUGCCCUUAGGUUCGGAAUAACAGCUGGAAACGGCUGCUAAUACCGGAUGAUAUCGCGAGAUCAAAGAUUUAUCACCUGAGGAUGAGCCCGCGUUGGAUUAGGUAGUUGGUGGGUUAAAGGCCUACCAAGCCGACGAUCCAUAGCUGGUCUGAGAGGAUGAUCAGCCACACUGGGACUGAGACACGGCACAGACUCUUACGGGAGGCAGCAGUGGGGAAUAUUGGACAAUGGGCGCAAGCAUGAUCCAGCAAUGCCGCGUGAGUGAUGAAGGCCCUAGGGUUGUAAAGCUCUUUUACCCGGGAAGAUAAUGACUGUACCGGGAGAAUAAGCCCCGGCUAACUCCGUG
rnacentral:rRNA from 1 species